AUACGAAGGUGGCAAGCGUUGUUCGGAUUUACUGGGCGUAAAGGGAGCGUAGGUGGUUUGGUAAGCCCUUCGGGAAAUCUCCCGGCUUAACCGGGAAAGGUCGGAGGGGACUGCCAGGCUAGAGGACGGGAGAGGAGCGCGGAAUUCCCGGUGUAGCGGUGAAAUGCGUAGAGAUCGGGAGGAAGGCCGGUGGCGAAGGCGGCGCUCUGGAACGAUCCUGACACUGAGGCUCGAAAGCGUGGGGAGCAAACA
rnacentral:rRNA from 1 species